UCCAGUGUUUUCCAGACGUGAGCGAGGACUGAAGAGUUUACAGCGUCAUCCUCGGAGGGCAUGACUACGUGACCAGUCAACCACUGACCGCCACCCUUCAAGAAUACGGGGUGUGCAAGAUUAUCAAUAACAGCGAUGGGUUCCAGUGUUCGAAUCAUUGGUUCCAAUGCUGGGAGCUGGCCCGUGUCUGUUAUUUGUUCCGCCACGGCACCAGUGGAGGGACGUGGAGGGCGGUGGAUGAACUGCAGCUGACGGAGGAAAUGGAAGAGCAGUCUUAAGUCUGACAUCCCUGCUGAGAGUGAAACUGCUAAGGCCAGAUCUCGCCAAGACCACAGCCUCUGUCACAAGGAUCUUACCUCCACUACACUGUGAACACUUGCCAAGCCCAUUUGGGAGAGAGGACCAAUCCUCAGCACCACACAGCAUGCAAGAGUCAGUCAGAUGCACACAGCACAUCUGGCACAAGACUGACCCAUAGCAGAGUUGCUCCACCACUGCCGCACAACAAGAGGCCACACCCCCUUCAUUCGUGUAUUUGGGACUCUCUAUUCCUGUCAUGCGUUUCUUAAAGCUAAUUGUCAGAAAAUCAAGGGUAUAUAACCAAUUUAUGUAACAACCAUACUGCAGUAAGUUUCCAAACAUAUAUAUAUAUAU